GUCAAAACAAUCUAGCAACGCUGCGGGGAGCAAGCUGGCGCAUUACUGCUGUUGCCUCCAUGUGUGCAGCCCUCUUGCACAAAAUGUCUGCUCUGAACAGACAUCUUAUGAAAUGGUGAGUUAGAAGCAGCAUCCAAAAUAGAAGAAAUAUGUCACUUAAAAGAGGCUGACACCAAAGUAAUCAUGGACUAUACAUUUCCAGAUUAAGGAGUGAGUUUCCAGCUUGUGCAAUAUGACGCUCACAUCAGCAGUAAUUUUAAAGCUGUUUGGCAUUGACUGUACGCUAGUUAUGGCAUCCCCAUCUCUAUGUGUAACUGUUAUUUCAUUGAAUAACUUUCAAGAUACUUCUUUAAGCAUUCAUUGUGAAUAAGAAUGGAUAUGAAAAGAAUAGACAUUGUGCUUUGAGGGAAGUAAAAAUAGUGAAUAAUCCCUCAUCAAUAGAUUAAAUAUCUUUUUUGCAUUACGAAUACUCAGCCCAUGCAUAAUCACAUUUAUAAAUAAAAACCUACAUAUAUCUAGGAUCAUGUAUGUGUCUUCUAUGAACAAUGGCUGCUGAGACAAGGCACACACAUACAUUUACAGUCAUACCACAAGCAUUCCUUUACAUGUGUGUGUGUGUGUGUGUGUCUAUAUAUAUAUAUAUAUAUAUAUAUAUAUAUAUAUAUAUAUAUAUAUAUAUAUAUAUAUAUAUAUAUAUAUAUAUAUAUAUAUAUAUAUAUAGAUAGAUAGAUAGAUGGAUAGAUAGAUAAAUACCCACACACACAAAUACACACAAUCACAUUAUCAUUUACAAUACAUAAAGGAUUUGGACGGAAUAUUUCAUUUCAGUAGUUCGAUUUUCUGCUCAGAGCUUUCAUGAAAUAGCACAAAUUUCAGAAUUAAUGUUCAUUCACAUGGUCUGUUCCAGAAAUCAUAUGUCACAUUUACUUUAUAUAAAUAUUGGUAUGCGAUGGACCACAUGAGAAAAGGAGGCUUUCCUGUUCACUUGACACGCAAGUGCAACAGUUACAAAGAGGUAGUUGCUUCACAAUUCAUAUACACAAACUUCUGUUUAAUACCAGAAAUAAUUGCUAAAUGCUUUUUCUUUUGGAGGCUGGUCCUACCAAUAUAAAAAUAUGGCAUUCAAUGUUGAGCUGCAACCAUGAUCAUGGUGCCUGUUGAUAACCACUCUGAACCAUAUUUUGUAACAGGAUGAUGUACAUAGCAAAAUAUACAAUAUAUAGGCAAUAAAA